rnacentral:rRNA from 1 species
UACGGAGGGUGCGAGCGUUGUCCGGAAUCACUGGGCGUAAAGGGCGCGUAGGCGGCCUGGUAAGUAGGGGGUGAAAUCCUGCGGCUUAACCGCAGGGCUGCCUUCUAAACUGUCAGGCUCGAGCACAGUAGAGGCAGGUGGAAUUCCCGGUGUAACGGUGGAAUGCGUAGAGAUCCGGAAGAACACCAGUGGCGAAGGCGGCCUGCUGGGCAGUUGCUGACGCUGAGGCGCGGACAGCGUGGGGAGCAAACGAG